CCUACGGGAGGCAGCAGUGAGGAAUAUUGGUCAAUGGACGAGAGUCUGAACCAGCCAAGUAGCGUGAAGGAUGACUGCCCUAUGGGUUGUAAACUUCUUUUAUAAAGGAAUAAAACGAGGCACGUGUGCCUUUUUGCAUGUACUUUAUGAAUAAGGAUCGGCUAACUCCGUGCCAGCAGCCGCGGUAAUACGGAGGAUCCGAGCGUUAUCCGGAUUUAUUGGGUUUAAAGGGAGCGUAGGUGGGUUGUUAAGUCAGUUGUGAAAGGUUGCGGCUCAACCGUAAAAUUGCAAUUGAUACUGGCAGUCUUGAGUACAGUUGAGGUAGGCGGAAUGCGUGGUGUAGCGGUGAAAUGCUUAGAUAUCACGAAGAACCCCGAUUGCGAAGGCAGCUUACUAAACUGUGACUGACAUUGAUGCUCGAAAGUGUGGGUAUCAAACAGGAUUAGAUACCCGAGUAGUC
rnacentral:rRNA from 1 species